rnacentral:rRNA from 1 species
CCUACGGGAGGCAGCAGUGGGGAAUAUUGCACAAUGGGGGGAACCCUGAUGCAGCAACGCCGCGUGAAGGAAGACGGUUUUCGGAUUGUAAACUUCUAUCAAUAGGGAAGAAAGAAAUGACGGUACCUAAAUAAGAAGCCCCGGCUAACUACGUGCCAGCAGCCGCGGUAAUACGUAGGGGGCAAGCGUUAUCCGGAAUUACUGGGUGUAAAGGGAGAGUAGGCGGCAAGGUAAGCGAUAUGUGAAAGCCUUAGGCUUAACCUGAGGAUUGCAUAACGAACUAUCUAGCUAGAGUACAGGAGAGGAAAGCGGAAUUCCUAGUGUAGCGGUGAAAUGCGUAGAUAUUAGGAAGAACACCAGUGGCGAAGGCGGCUUUCUGGACUGAAACUGACGCUGAGGCUCGAAAGCGUGGGGAGCGAACAGGAUUAGAUACCCUUGUAGUC